CGGUAAUUCCAGCUCCAAUAGCGUAUAUUAAAAUUGUUGCAGUUAAAAAGCUCGUAGUUGAAUUUCUGUUAAAAAUAACCGGUCUGCUUUUAUUAUUAGUAAAAGUGGUAUCUUGGCUUUUUUUUUAGCAAUAAUGUCCUUGGAGAUGUUUUUUACUUACUUUAUUGUAAUAAAUUAUGUUGAGGAUUUUUACUUUGAGAAAAUUAGAGUGUUUCUAGCAGGCUAACGCUUUGAAUACUGCAGCAUGGAAUAAUAAAAUAGGAUUUUGGUUCUACAUUAUUGGUUUUAAGAACUAAAUUAAUGAUUGAUAGGGACAGUUGGGGGCAUUUGUAUUUAACUGUCAGAGGUGAAAUUCUUA
rnacentral:rRNA from 1 species